CCUACGGGAGGCAGCAGUAGGGAAUCUUCCACAAUGGGCGAAAGCCUGAUGGAGCAACGCCGCGUGGGUGAAGAAGGUCUUCGGAUCGUAAAACCCUGUUGUUAGAGAAGAAAGUGCGUGAGAGUAACUGUUCACGUCUCGACGGUAUCUAACCAGAAAGCCACGGCUAACUACGUGCCAGCAGCCGCGGGAAUACGUAGGUGGCAAGCGUUAUCCGGAUUUUUUGGGCGUAAAGGGAACGCAGGCGGUCUUUUUAGUCUGAUGUGAAAGCCUUCGGCUUAACCGGAGUAGUGCAUUGGAAACUGGUAGACUUGAGUGCAGAAGAGGAGAGUGGAACUCCAUGUGUAGCGGUGAAAUGCGUAGAUAUAUGGAAGAACACCAGUGGCGAAAGCGGCUCUCUGGUCUGUAACUGACGCUGAGGUUCGAAAGCGUGGGUAGCAAACAGGAUUAGAUACCCGAGUAGUC
rnacentral:rRNA from 1 species